AAAGUCGUAACAAGGUUUCCGUAGGUGAACCUGCGGAAGGAUCAUUAUAAAUAUUAAGCUUGCCUUGGCUUUUAUAAAGCUCUGGCUUGCGAAUCCUUUGUAUUUAAAACCCCACUCUUUAAAAAUGGAUUAUAUUUUUUAUGUUAAAAAUAAUAUAAAAGAUCA
rnacentral:misc_RNA from 1 species